UACGGGGGGGGCAAGCGUUGUUCGGAAUUACUGGGCGUAAAGGGCUCGUAGGUGGCCAACUAAGUCAGACGUGAAAUCCCUCGGCUUAACCGGGGAACUGCGUCUGAUACUGGAUGGCUUGAGUUCGGGAGAGGGAUGCGGAAUUCCAGGUGUAGCGGUGAAAUGCGUAGAUAUCUGGAGGAACACCGGUGGCGAAGGCGGCAUCCUGGACCGACACUGACACUGAGGAGCGAAAGCCAGGGGAGCAAACCGG
rnacentral:rRNA from 1 species